GGAUGAACGCUGGCGGUAUGCUUAACACAUGCAAGUCGAACGAAAUCUUUCGGGAUUUAGUGGCGGACGGGUGAGUAACGCGUGAGAAUCUGCCUUCAGGUCUGGGACAACCACUGGAAACGGUGGCUAAUACCGGAUGUGCCGAAAGGUGAAAGGUUAACUGCCUGAAGAUGAGCUCGCGUCUGAUUAGCUAGUAGGUAGUGUAAAGGACUACCUAGGCGACGAUCAGUAGCUGGUCUGAGAGGACGAUCAGCCACACUGGGACUGAGACACGGCCCAGACUCCUACGGGAGGCAGCAGUGGGGAAUUUUCCGCAAUGGGCGAAAGCCUGACGGAGCAAUACCGCGUGAGGGAGGAAGGCUCUUGGGUCGUAAACCUCUUUUCUCAGGGAAGAACACAAUGACGGUACCUGAGGAAUAGCAUCGGCUAACUCCGUGCCAGCAGCCGCGGUAAUACGGAGGAUGCAAGCGUUAUCCGGAAUGAUUGGGCGUAAAGCGUCCGCAGGUGGCUAUGUAAGUCUGCUGUUAAAGAGUCUAGCUCAACUAGAUAAGAGCAGUGGAAACUACAUGGCUAGAGUGCGUUCGGGGCAGAGGGAAUUCCUGGUGUAGCGGUGAAAUGCGUAGAGAUCAGGAAGAACACCGGUGGCGAAGGCGCUCUGCUAGGCCGCAA
rnacentral:rRNA from 1 species